UCAUAACACUGGAUAUGCUCGCGUCAAAGAAAAUAAAACAAAACAAAACCCUGAUGAUUAUCACAUCACUGUGUGGUUCAACUUCCCCACGACUAGGAAAAUGUAAGGCAAAAAAACUGUCUGGCUGCAGCCCGCGCCUAUCACUGCGCUCCAUGCCCAUCCCCUGCCGCACCCUGGAUGCUACUCCUUGGGUGUGAAUUACCAAGAUAGCUUCUGGUCCUCUCUAUUCCUCCUGAUGUCCUUUAUAUUUAAUAAAUUUGGUUACCACUAA